rnacentral:rRNA from 1 species
UACGAAGGGGGCUAGCGUUGCUCGGAAUCACUGGGCGUAAAGGGCGCGUAGGUGGCGACCCAAGUCCAUGGUGAAAGCUCGAUGCUCAACAUCGAGUCGGCCACGGAUACUGGGUUGCUCGAGCACUGUAGAGGCUAAUGGAAUUCCGGGUGUAGCGGUGGAAUGCGUAGAGAUCCGGAAGAACACCGGUGGCGAAGGCGGUUAGCUGGGCAGUUGCUGACACUGAGGCGCGAAAGCGUGGGGAGCAAACAGG